rnacentral:rRNA from 1 species
AUUGAACGCUGGCGGCAGGCCUAACACAUGCAAGUCGAACGGUAACAGGAAGCAGCUUGCUGCUUCGCUGACGAGUGGCGGACGGGUGAGUAAUGUCUGGGAAACUGCCUGAUGGAGGGGGAUAACUACUGGAAACGGUAGCUAAUACCGCAUAACGUCGCAAGACCAAAGAGGGGGACCUUAGGGCCUCUUGCCAUCGGAUGUGCCCAGAUGGGAUUAGCUAGUAGGUGGGGUAACGGCUCACCUAGGCGACGAUCCCUAGCUGGUCUGAGAGGAUGACCAGCCACACUGGAACUGAGACACGGUCCAGACUCCUACGGGAGGCGGCAGUGGGGAAUAUUGCACAAUGGGCGCAAGCCUGAUGCAGCCAUGCCGCGUGUAUGAAGAAGGCCUUCGGGUUGUAAAGUACUUUCAGCGGGGAGGAAGGGAGUAAAGUUAAUACCUUUGCUCAUUGACGUUACCCGCAGAAGAAGCACCGGCUAACUCCGUG